rnacentral:rRNA from 1 species
AUGUCGGCAGGGAGCGAGCGCUCGAACGCGGCCUACGCGACCCCGGCGGCGGUGCUGGCGGGCUUCUCGCGCGGAUCCGGCCCGUCCGUCUCCGGCGCCGGCAGCGGCAGCGGGAGGAGCCAGGCGGAGGGCGGGGCGAGGAAGAAGCCCCCGUUCCGCCUCGCGGCGGACGACACCAAGCCCAUCCUCCGCGACCCGAUCUCGCGGUCCGACCCCAUGGAGACCGAGCAGGCCGUGCUGCGGCUGCCGCCCUUCCCCUGA